rnacentral:rRNA from 1 species
UUGGAGGGCAAGUCUGGUGCCAGCAGCCGCGGUAAUUCCAGCUCCAAUAGCGUAUAUUAAAGUUGUUGCAGUUAAAAAGCUCGUAGUUGAAUUUCGGGAUUGACGUGACGGUCAUGCCUUAAGGGGUAUGAACUGUUACUGUUGAUUUCUCACCUUCUGGAGAAACUUGAUGUCCUUUAUUGGGUGUCUUGCGGAUCCAGGACCUUUACCUUGAAAAGAUUAGAGUGUUUAAAGCAGGCAUUUUUGCUCGAAUACAUUAGCAUGGAAUAAUAGAAUAGGACGGCAUGGUUCUAUUUUGUUGGUUUCUAGGAUCACCGUAAUGAUUAAUAGGGAUAGUUGGGGGCAUAAGUAUUCAAUUGUCAGAGGUGAGAUUCUUGGAUUUAUUGAAGACUAACUACUGCGAAAGCAUUUGCCAAGGAUGUUUUCAUUAAUCAAGAACGAAAGUUAGGGGAUCGAAGACGAUCAGAUACCGUCGUAGUCUUAACCAUAAACUAUGCCGACUAGGAAUCAGACGAUGUUAAUUUUUUAAUGACUCGUUUGGCACCUUACGGGAAACCAAAGUGUUUGGGUUC